GCUGAAAUAGCAAAGUAGUUAAUGCGGAAGACUUAGGAUCUUCUACCGAAGGUUCAACUCCCUCUUUCAGCU
rnacentral:tRNA from 1 species